rnacentral:rRNA from 1 species
UACAGAGGGUGCGAGCGUUAAUCGGAAUUACUGGGCGUAAAGCGCACGUAGGCGGCUUGGUAUGUCGGGUGUGAAAUCCCCGGGCUCAACCUGGGAACUGCAUCCGAAACUGCCUUGCUAGAGUAUGGGAGAGGGAAGUGGAAUUUCCGGUGUAGCGGUGAAAAUUCGUAGAUAUCGGGAGGAACACCGGUGGCGAAGGCGGCGACCUGGGUCGAUACUGACGCUGAGGCGCGAAAAGCGUGGGGGAGCAAACAGGG